rnacentral:lncRNA from 1 species
UUAUUCUUGUCAUUUAAUAAAAGAUAGGGAUACAUAUGGAGAUAUUAUACAGAAGUUUUUUGAAGUAAGACAAGGUGUAGCAAUUGAAUUGUCUCAGUCCAAGUAUGUAUUAGCUGAAUUUGGGUACUGGAGUGCAAAACUUCAUUUUCAUUUUCUAAACAUUUUCAAUUGCAUCUGUAUCUUUCUUAGUUGCUUCUGUUAAAAUAUACAAAAAAUAUAAUGGGAAAACGCUAUCAAUUCUUUUAAAAAUAGCAGAAUUGUAGUUGACAAAAUUGGUACAACAAUUAGGACAAGACUCAACUAGGAAAUAUUCCAUUCUUUAGCAUAUAGAAACUUACAUAUGGUUUGCUAUCACUGCUGCCCAGUGCCACAGCCAACAUCUCAGUCUGUGCAAAGAAACAGGAGGACAGUCAGUGGGUGGGCUCGAAGCAGGAAACAGAAGGAGGGAGAGGGAGUGAGCGGGGGAGAGACUGUGUGCAUAUGUCCUGAGGAGUUGGGUAGUUAGAGCAUCCGUUAGGGAGAUGAAGAACCAAGAUUCAUACUCUUCUCUAUGUUCCACAGAAUGUGCCUAAAUUCAGCUCUACCAGAUCCCCCAUGGGCAAGUUAUUUGAUUAUUCUAUACUUUCCAAAUGUGGCUUCUUAGAGAUAUUUUAUUAUGACAAAAAUAAAAGAUAUCCCUUGGAGCAGAAGUAUUCUGUUUAUGUUAAUUAACAGUAUGCUGUAUAUUCUGCCUCUCUUCGUUCCUGUGCUAACUCCAUCAAGUGAACAGCAGCAGUGGGACAGCUGGAAAAUUUAAUCCUAAACUGAUCCAGGGGAUGGAAGAUGUUGAUUGAAGUUUGGGCUGUGAGCAGGAGCAGAGUAUGGCUGGAGGAUGUGUCUCACUCCUUGGGAUCCCACUGGAGGAGCACUCCUGAUCUGGGCCAAGUGCCCAAAUCCAGGCGCCUCAGCCCCUGUAUCUCCCGGCGCUGCUCUUCUCCUCUGAACUGCAAUUGUAUGUGGCAAAGCAGCUCUCUCUUCUCCCACAAGUGCUUUCUGCUCAUACAGGUUCCUAAAUCAGAAAAGGAGAUGGUAUUAGAUGUGCUCUGUGAUCUGAGCCUCCAUAAAUCUCCUCAGAGCUCACUUUGCUGUGCCCAUGAAGAAGGACCGUCAUGCUGGAACAGCUGCACUGGUGGCUGUUGACAAGAGCUGCAUGAGCUGAAUUCACUGACCUCACAAAGCCAGAACAAGGAUUUAGCGUGGUGGUAGCAGGUUAACAUUAGGAUCUUAAACUUCAGAGCUUUUUAUUUCACCAAAAUCAGUGGAAUUGCCUGUCCCAGUGGGAAACUGCCCCCCGUUACAGGGUACCUUGGACUCCUCUCUGCAUGAACAAGGGAGCUCCCCUGGGACCAAAACACCCUUGUCCUUCCAUGGCAGGGACACGUGGCUGGAGAUCUCUCAGUAACAGUGCUUUGUAACGUACUAAAUGAAAAAGAAGUUAAAUUAAAUUAAGUAUGGAUGCUUUGAGUCAGCUUUCAACAAAAAUUUCUCAGCGUGCUUGAAAGAAUCAUGCUCAGUUCAUUUGGUCCUUUAUGCAAUUUAAGAAAAAUUAAACUUGAGAUUUACAGAGGAAGUAGAUCAUGAUCCUGGUGGCACAUGAAUAGCGAACAGGAUAGUGUAUUCUGUGUGGUACAAAAACCAAGCUCAAAUUCCCUGUGACUUGCUUUGGGGAUAGAUAUAGACUAAGUGUCUGCAGAAAUCAUCAGCACAUUCUGGAAGCACUCACUACCCUUUGGCCCAGAUACUGCUGGGACCACCUUUACCCUUCCACAGGAGAUGAGAUUGGCCCCUUUUCAGUAUAACCCUCAUGUAACAUGGGGGGCUGAAGGCUGAAUCCAGCUCUUCUACAUCUUAAGUGAGUGUUAAGGGCAAUAUUUUUUAAAAAUAUAAAUGACAUUUCAGUCUCUUGUGAAUGUAUCCUGAAAAAAAAUUCUGUACAUCAGAUAUUCCCUCAUCAUAAUACUCCUUUCCUUCCCUUUGAGACCUAUUAGGACAGGACUUUGCACUGCUAGUGAGCACAGCACCCCUCUGGAAUCUUUGCUGCUGGAGCAGUGUCUGAGCUUUUUCAGAAGGCAAGGUGGGCACAGUGGGCUGCAGCAGCCGAUGGUGCUGGGGUGGGCCAAGUACCUGCUCUGACACAGAUGAGUGAACUAAGAAGGGGUUUUGGGGAGGAUUUUUGGAGGUGCUUUAAUGUGGGGAACUCUUGGUAUGUUUGGACAAGGGGAAUUUAAUGCAGAGCUUUGGAAAGGUAAGGGGAUGGCCGAGGCUGGGGGCUCUCCAGCUGGCACCUGGGAGUGUUUAUGAAAAGAACCAAGGGAUGGGGAAGGUUGAAAUGGAUAGAUUCAGAAAUAGGAAUUUUGUCACAGGAGAGGGGAGAGCUGGGGCAAGGGCUGGGGCGGGAGAGCAAUGAGCACCAAAGGAAUGGAUUUAUUAAACAACUCUGACAUAGAUGUUGUGUUUGGGGCAAUCUCCUGUCCUGUUUUCCUUCUCCUCCCUCCCUGGGUUGUUUGUUUUUGUUUUGUGGUUUUUGUUUGUUUGAUUUUUGUUUUACUUUGCUUGUUUGUUUUUUUCCUGCUGGCAACAGGAGUAGCCUAGCCCAACUAAACAGAGCUGAUUGGUUCCAGAAAAAUUGAUAUGAGCUUUUCUUGCACUUCUGAAAUCUUUCCAUCCUCACCUCUUAUAUUUAUUAGCUCAAAGUUAUUCACCAAAAGUUGACCUGAAUUUUCAAACUAGUUUUCUUCUGACAAAUAAACUCUUCACUAAAAACAUAUGUGCCCAUCACUACACUAAAUGCAGGCAGUCAGUCUAUUUACUUGCUGUUUGGCUGAUAGCUGGCUGCUUCCCAGCAGCACAGAGGAGAUGGAAGGCAUUAAGAAAAGCUCUGAAUAUUGCUGGCUGAAUAGCCUGCAAAAAAAAGGAUAAGGAUGACAGAAAUGAAAUCCUAGCACUGUUAAGAGGCACUUGGAAGAUUUUGCUACAGUUUCUAUUAAAAAAAAAAAAAUUAAAAAUUCAAUGGAAGUUGCACAAAUAAAGACCAUGCACAGCACUUUGAAACCAUACCAGUGCGACACCAUAAAUAUAUGAGAAUGAAAUAAAAAUAAUAAAAAAGGAUCUUAGUUGUAGGCAAUGCACUUUAAUGGCUCAGCUCAGUAUGGAAUAACCUCAAAAAUACAUUCCAGAACUGUUUUCUCCAUCACAUGGAAGAAAGGGGCAAAUGGAACUGCAAAUACCGGGCACAGCAUCUGCUAGACUUCACUGCCUGGCCACUGCUCUAGCACACUUGCCAUCCCUGCUGAGCGCCUUUCAUGGUGGGGCAGAAUCCAGCCUUGGGCUGAUGGGCUGCUCUGGAAGCUGCAGGCAGAAAAGUUGGGCAAUUGGAUCACCUUGGUGAAAGCAGGGGGGUGGCAGAGAAGCUGAAAGUGGAGCUGGAGUUCAGCAGCUCUGCUGGUACAAGAUGUAGGGGCCUCAAUGGUGUUACUGUGUCAGUCAAAAUAUUUUCAAUUGGAAACAAGGGGUGAAGAGAAAGAGCAACAACAGCUUCCAAAAGGAACUGGGCCAUUGUCCUGGUUUUGGCUGGGACAGAGGUAAUUUUCUUCAUAUGGUACAGUGCUGUGGUUUGAAUUCAGUAUGAGAAUCACGUUGAUAACACACUGAUAUUCUGGCUUUUGCUCAGUGGUGCUUACUCUAAAUCAAGGACUUUUCAGUGUCCUGUGCUUUGCCAGUCAGCAAGUGCACAAGAAGCCAAGAGGGAACAUGGCCAGGAGAGCUGACCCAAACUGACCAAAGGGCUGUUCCAUUCCCCAGGACAUGUUGAUUAUAUAGACUGGGGGGAGCUGGCUGGGAGGCACCAGUUGCUGCUCAGGGAUGGACAGGGUAUGGGGUCAGUGAGUGGUGAGCAAUUUUAGUGUGCAUCACUUGUUUAUCUUGGAUUUUAUUCCUCUCCCUCUCCCAUUUUCAUUACAAUUGUUAUCA